rnacentral:rRNA from 1 species
UAUGUGAUCGUCUCUCGCAUAUCAAUAAGCGGAGGAAAAGAAACUAACAAGGAUUCUCUUAGUAACGGCGAGUGAAGCGGGAAGAGCUCAAAUUUGAAAUCUUCAAGGUUUUACCUUGACGAAUUGUAGUUUAAAGAAGUGUUUUCUGUUGAAGUUUUGGUAAAAGUUCUUUGGAAUAGGACAUCAUAGAGGGUGAGAAUCCCGUAUUUGACCACUAUUUUCAGCUGUGUGAUACACUUUCAAAGAGUCGGAUUGUUUGGGAAUGCAGUCCAAAAUGGGUGGUAAAUUUCAUCUAAAGCUAAAUAUUGGCGAGAGACCGAUAGCGAACAAGUACCGUGAGGGAAAGAUGAAAAGAACUUUGAAAAGAGAGUUAAACAGUACGUGAAAUUGUCAAAAGGGAAGCGUUUGACACCAGUGUUGUUUUCUCGAAAAUCAAUUAAAAAGAGUUUAGAUUUUGUUGUGUAUUGACCUUAACAGCUUGCAUUUCAAUUUUCUUGCUUUUUUUAAUGCACUUUUCGUUUAACAAGUCAACAUCAGUUUCUUUUGUUGUAAAAAGGUCAUUGGAAGGUGGCUUUCUUUUCGGAGAAAGUGUUUAUAGCCUUUGACUCCUGCAAUCGGAGAGACUGAGGUCUGCAGCGUAGAUCCUUCGGGGUUAAAUACAUUUGUGCUAAGUUAUAGCUUUUUAUAGACAACUUGUUGACUAUGAUUAGUCUUGUAGCUUACUCGCUUAUGCUAUUUUACCUACGCUUAGGAUGUUGAAGAUGUAGCACAUCAU